GAGUUUGAUCCUGGCUCAGGACGAACGCUGGCGGCGCGCCUAACACAUGCAAGUCGAACGGAAUCAAGAGGAGCUUGCUUUUCUUGAUUUAGUGGCGAACGGGUGAGUAACGCGUGAGUAACCUGCCCUGGAGUGGGGGACAACAGUUGGAAACGACUGCUAAUACCGCAUAAGCCCACGGUGCCGCAUGGCACUGCGGGAAAAGGAUUUAUUCGCUUCAGGAUGGACUCGCGUCCAAUUAGCUAGUUGGUGAGGUAACGGCCCACCAAGGCGACAAUUGGUAGCCGGACUGAGAGGUUGAACGGCCACAUUGGGACUGAGACACGGCCCAGACUCCUACGGGAGGCAGCAGUGGGGAAUAUUGCACAAUGGGGGAAACCCUGAUGCAGCGACGCCGCGUGAAGGAAGAAGUAUCUCGGUAUGUAAACUUCUAUCAGCAGGGAAGAUAAUGACGGUACUCAACAAGGAAGUGACGGCUAACUACGUGCCAGCCGCCGCGGUAAUAC
rnacentral:rRNA from 1 species